rnacentral:rRNA from 1 species
GUUGACCUCGAAUCAGGUAGGACUACCCGCUGAAC